GUGACUGUUUCGGCCGACGUUAGGCAACC
rnacentral:sRNA from 1 species